rnacentral:misc_RNA from 1 species
GCAGCAACCUCGAGCUCAACAACGACGGCACGGCCAGCGACCGCCCGCUCAACGUGCCGCGCAAUUCGCUCCAGCUGCCGUCGCGCAAGAACGUCGACUUCCGUUACUCGCGGCGGUUCCACAUCCAGGGCACCAUGGCCGCGGAAGUGAUCGCCGAGCUCAAGAACGUGUUCAACACCGAGCAGGUCUCGAGCGUGACGUCGACGGUGACCACCAAUGCGCAGGGCGUGCCGACAGCGCCGCUGCCGACGUCGGGCAGCCAGCUGACGCCGACCGGCGGCUACGAGCAGCGUCAGUUCCAGCUCGGAUUCAAAUUCGUGUUUUAGACAGGUUGGCAGGUUGUCAGGUUGACAGGUUGGUCAGCCUGACUGCCUGACCGCCUGACUGCCUGAGUUUCAUCAUGCGUAAAGUUGUUUUCUUUCUCGCCGUCCUCAUUGCCGCCGCGUCCGCUCAUUCAACCGCGCAACAUCAGCUGGUUCCCGUGGCCGCGCUCAAGGGCGAGCCGGCGCUCGAGCUCGCCAUGCGCAAGCUCGACACCGUCGGCAAUUUCAUGAUGACGACGGCGCAUCCAGACGACGAGAACAACGCGAUGCUGGCGUACUUCUCGCACGGGAAGGGGUACCGCACGUCGCUCGUCACGGCGACGCAUGGCGAAGGCGGGCAGAACGAGAUUGGCCCCGAGCUGUUCGUGCCGCUCGCGGUGCUGCGCACCGAGGAAUUGCUGGCCGCGCACCGUUUCGACGGCGCGGAUCAAUACUUCGCGCGCGCGAUUGAUUUUGGCUUCUCGUUCAGCGUCGAAGAGACGUUCGAGAAGUGGGGCCACGACGAGAUCCUCGGCGACUUCGUUCGCCACAUCCGCACCAUUCGCCCGGACGUGAUCGUCGGCUUCGUGUUCGACGGCGAUGGCGGCGGCCAGCAUCACCAGGCCUCGACGCGGCUGGCGCUCGAGGCGUUUCGCGCCGCGGCUGAUCCAG